rnacentral:rRNA from 1 species
GACGAACGCUGGCGGCGUGCUUAACACAUGCAAGUCGAGCGGUAAGGCUCCUUCGGGAGUACACGAGCGGCGAACGGGUGAGUAACACGUGAGCAAUCUGCCCUUCUCUUCGGAAUAACCAUUGGAAACGAUGGCUAAUGCCGAAUACGACCUCCCUUCGCAUGUUGGGAGGUGGAAAGCUCCGGCGGAGAAGGAUGAGC